GGGGGAAUUUGAGUUCCUGGUGGGCUCCGCAGGCUUCAAACCUGUUGGGGGGUGACAAGGGUUAUCCCCGGUGGGUUCGAUUCCCAUAUUCUCCCGCCA
rnacentral:tRNA from 1 species